rnacentral:rRNA from 1 species
UACGUAGGGUGCGAGCGUUGUCCGGAAUUAUUUGGGCGUAAAGAGCUCGUAGGCGGUCUGUCGCGUCUGCUGUGAAAACUCAGGGCUUAACCCUGAGCUUGCAGUGGGUACGGGCAGACUAGAGUGUUGCAGGGGAGACUGGAAUUCCUGGUGUAGCGGUGAAAUGCGCAGAUAUCAGGAGGAACACCGAUGGCGAAGGCAGGUCUCUGGGCCACUACUGACGCUGAGAAGCGAAAGCAUGGGGAGCGAACAGG